GCUUGUCUCAAAGAUUAAGCCAUGCACGUCUAAGUAUAAGCGAUUAUACUGUGAAACUGCGAAUGGCUCAUUAUAUCAGUUAUAGUUUAUUUGAUGGUUCUUGCUACUUGGAUAACCGUAGUAAUUCUAGAGCUAAUACAUGCGUCAAACCUCGACUUCUGGGAGAGGUGUAUUUAUUAGAUGGAAACCAAUGCGGGGCAACCCGGUAUAUGGUGAUUCAUAAUAACUUUCAGAUCGAUCGCAAGAUCGAUGCAUCAUUCAAGUUUCUGCCCUAUCAGCUUUGGAUGGUAGGGUAUUGGCCUACCAUGGCUUUAACGGGUAACGGAGAAUUAGGGUUCGAUUCCGGAGAGGGAGCCUGAGAAAUGGCUACCACAUCCAAGGAAGGCAGCAGG
rnacentral:rRNA from 1 species